CGUGCCAGCAGCCGCGGUAAUACGGAGGAUCCAAGCGUUAUCCGGAAUCAUUGGGUUUAAAGGGUCCGCAGGCGGUUGUUUAAGUCAGAGGUGAAAGUUUGCAGCUCAACUGUAAAAUUGCCUUUGAUACUGAAUAACUUGAGUUAUAAUGAAGUGGUUAGAAUAUGUAGUGUAGCGGUGAAAUGCAUAGAUAUUACAUAGAAUACCGAUUGCGAAGGCAGAUCACUAAUUAUAUACUGACGCUGAGGGACGAAAGCGUGGGGAGCGAACAGGAUUAGAUACCCUGGUAGUCCACGCCGUAAACGAUGGUCACUAGCUGUUUGGACUUCGGUCUGAGUGGCUAAGCGAAAGUGAUAAGUGACCCACCUGGGGAGUACGAUCGCAAGAUUGAAACUCAAAGGAAUUGACGGGGGCCCGCACAAGCGGUGGAGUAUGUGGUUUAAUUCGAUGCAACGCGAAGAACCUUACCUGGGCUUGACAUGUAUGGAUUAGCUCUUGGAAACAUGAGUGACGCCCUUUGGGUGGAACAUACACAGGUGCUGCAUGGCUGUCGUCAGCUCGUGCUGUGAAGUGUCGGGUUAAGUCCCUUAACGAGCGCAACCCUUAUCGCUAGUUGCCAGCGCGUCAUGGCGGGGACUCUAGCGAGACUGCCGGUGUCAAACCGGAGGAAGGUGGGGAUGACGUCAAGUCCUCAUGGCCCUUACGCCCAGGGUGGCAAACGUGCUACAAUGGCGUGUACAAAGCGAUGCAAUAUCGUGAGAUGGAGCAAAUCGCAAAAAGCACGCCCCAGUUCGGAUUGGAGUCUGCAACUCGACUCCAUGAAGCCGGAAUCGCUAGUAAUCGGAGAUCAGCCACGCUCCGGUGAAUACGUUCCUGAGCCUUGUACACACCGCCCGUCAAGCCAUGGAAGCUGGGGGUACCUGAAG
rnacentral:rRNA from 14 species